rnacentral:tRNA from 1 species
GUCAGGAUGGCCGAGCGGUCUAAGGCGCCAGACUCAAGGUUACCCCUUGCCUGUAAAGCAGGCUGAUGAGCUGUUCUGGUCCUCUCUGAGGGCGUGGGUUCGAAUCCCACUUCUGACA